AUGGCGGAUCCGCUGGCUUUCCUGUUGGCGUACGAGGAGGCCGUCUUCAAGGCUGGGGGCGACGACAAGGUCAUGGCUAACUGGUUUCCCAUGGCCCUCACCGGCGUUCCGCACAUAUGGCUGCUCCACCUGCCAACUGCUUCUGUGGCCUCUUGGGAGGAGCUGUGCGGCCUCUUCCUCGCCCAUUAUGCUCCACCGGCACUCCCGGUCGUCGCAGCUCUCCUAGGUGACUCGCAGGCGCUGCCCUCGGACCGCCAUAUCAAGCCAUUCGUCCGCCAGAUCGGUGCCGCGCUCGCGCGGCAUGGGGCUCCUCCCGGUUGGGCAGCGCCCAAGGCCGAUCUGACCUUCAGCUUGGAUGAUCACCCCUUCAACUCAGCCUGCUCACGCGUGCUCCGAAUGCUGUGCACCCCCACCAUCUGCCAGGUGGCCGUCACCAGGACCCUCAUCAACGGCGGAGCGGGCCUCAGCGUGCUCUUGGUGGAAGCCUUCAGCCUCCUCCACAUGCCGCCAGAGCGGCUUCAGCCCAGCAGGCCUUUCUUGGGCGUCGGAGGCAGUUCCACCGGCUCCCUGGGAGAGAUCUGCCUCCCGGUGACCUUCAGCACCUACGACAACUUCUGCACGGAGCUGAUCAACUUAGAAAUCUCCCCCAUCGGCCUCCCGUACAACGCCAUCCUCGGCUACCCGGCCCUGGCCCGGUUCAUGGCCGCAACUCACCCAACGUACAACCUCAUGAAGAUGCCCGGGAGCAACGACGUCCUUACUAUGUCCGGAGACACCGGGGAUGCAUUGCAAGCACUCAAGCUUGCCUUCAAGACUGGGCGGUGGCGCAGCCCGCCGGCCAAGAAGAAACAACUAUUCAGCCAAGACAAGGCGGAGACCAAGCAGGUACCGGUCGAUGAGGACGAGCCCACCGGUGCUACCUUCACGAUAGGCACCAACCUUGAGCCUGAGCAGGAGAAGUCCCUGGUCGGUUUCCUGCGCACGAACAGAAAGGUGUUUGCAUGGGAGCCUGAUCAGCUGGCGGGAGUCCCGAGGGAUGUAAUUGAGCAUCAUCUCAACGUGUGCCCCAACAUGCGCCCUGUGAAGCAGAAGGCAAUGCGGCAGUCCACUGAAAAGCAGGCCUUCAUCGUCCAAGAGACCCGCAAGUUGGAAGCAGCGGGGGUCAUUCGCGAGGUCCGCUACCCUGAUUGA
rnacentral:rRNA from 1 species